rnacentral:rRNA from 1 species
GACGAACGCUGGCGGCGUGCUUAACACAUGCAAGUCGAACGCUGAAGCUCAGCUUUUGUUGGGUGGAUGAGUGGCGAACGGGUGAGUAACACGUGAGUAACCUGCCUCCUUCUUUGGGAUAACGCCCGGAAACGGGUGCUAAUACUGGAUAUUCACUGGUCUUCGCAUGGGGGUUGGUGGGAAGGGUUUUUCUGGUGGGGGAUGGGCUCGCGGCCUAUCAGCUUGUUGGUGGGGUGAUGGCCUACCAAGGCUUUGACGGGUAGCCGGCCUGGGAGGGUGACCGGUCACAUUGGGACUGAGAUACGGCCCAGACUCCUACGGGAGGCAGCAGUGGGGAAUAUUGCACAAUGGGCGCAAGCCUGAUGCAGCGACGCCGCGUGAGGGAUGGAGGCCUUCGGGUUGUGAACCUCUUUCGCUCAUGGUCAAGCCGCAACAAUGGUUGUGGUGAGGGUAGUGGGUAAAGAAGCGCCGGCUAACUACGUG